CGGCNGUCGACGAUUCCUACGGGAGGCAGCAGUAGGGAAUCUUCCGCAAUGGACGAAAGUCUGACGGAGCAACGCCGCGUGAGUGAUGAAGGUUUUCGGAUCGUAAAACUCUGUUGUUAGGGAAGAACAAGUACUAGAGUAACUGCUAGUACCUUGACGGUACCUAACCAGAAAGCCACGGCUAACUACGUGCCAGCAGCCGCGGUAAUACGUAGGUGGCAAGCGUUGUCCGGAAUUAUUGGGCGUAAAGCGCGCGCAGGCGGUCCUUUAAGUCUGAUGUGAAAGCCCACGGCUCAACCGUGGAGGGUCAUUGGAAACUGGGGGACUUGAGUACAGAAGAGAAGAGUGGAAUUCCACGUGUAGCGGUGAAAUGCGUAGAGAUGUGGAGGAACACCAGUGGCGAAGGCGACUCUUUGGUCUGUAACUGACGCUGAGGCGCGAAAGCGUGGGGAGCAAACAGGAUUAGAUACCCUGGUAGUCCACGCUGUAAACGAUGAGUGCUAAGUGUUAGAGGGUUUCCGCCCUUUAGUGCUGCAGCUAACGCAUUAAGCACUCCGCCUGGGGAGUACGGCCGCAAGGCUGAAACUCAAAGGAAUUGACGG
rnacentral:rRNA from 1 species